UUUUAGGGGAAUGUUGUUUGGUUUGAGGAUCUGAUCCGUAACCAUUUAUCUGAACCAAAGAUGGUUAGAGAGUUAACCUCAUAGCUAUAUUUGUGAGAAUAUCAUCGGACCAGGCUUCAUUCCCCUCAAU